UGUAACGUAGGGCCGUGCGCGGCGGGUGUGCGUAGGGGGUGAGCGUUGUUCGGGUUUAGUGGGCGUAAAGGGCUCGGAGGUGGUUGAUCGCGUCGGAAGUGUAAUCUUGGGGCUUAACCCUGAGCGUGCUUUCGAUACGGGUUGACUUGAGGAAGGUAGGGGAGAAUGGAAUUCCUGGUGGAGCGGUGGAAUGCGCAGAUAUCAGGAGGAACACCAGUGGCGAAGGCGGUUCUCUGGGCCUUUCCUGACGCUGAGGAGCGAAAGCGUGGGGAGCGAACAGGAUUAGAUACCCCUGUAGUC
rnacentral:rRNA from 1 species